rnacentral:rRNA from 1 species
UACGAAGGGUGCAAACGUUGCUCGGAAUUAUUGGGCGUAAAGCGCACGUAGGCGGCUUAGCAAGUUGGAUGUGAAAUCCCUCGGCUCAACCAAGGAAGUGCAUCCAAAACUGCUGAGCUUGAAUACUUAAGAGGAUCGCGGAAUUCCCGGUGUAGCGGUGAAAUGCGCAGAUAUCGGGAAGAACACCCGUGGCGAAGGCGGCUUCUGGGACGGUACUGACGCUGAGACGCGAAAGCGUGGGGAGCGAACAGG